CUCACAAGUAGGAACAUCCAUACCAGCCAAUCUUUGCUCCCGCACAAAACCCGCCGUAAGUGAGCGACAACGGGCAUCUACCACAUUCCCAUUUUUUUCACGACGAACAGAAGGGUGUAAACAUAAAUUUUUGCGACUGGUUAGUCCGAGACCCAAAAAUGGUUCUUCAUAUCCUAACUGUGAAGUCCGAUACGCCAUUAAACGCUUCAAUUCAGCUAAUGCUUUAUCAAUUUCCGACAUGGUACGUGAACAAUAGAUGAGCUUGCGAUGCUCAGGAUAAUGUUGUUGAUAUGAAACAAUAAGGGACAAAAGAGAAAUGGUCUUUCCAGUACCCGAAGGCAUUUCUAAGAGCGCAAUGCCUCCCGCAUCCAAAGAAUGUUUCAAAUCACACAUAUACUGAUACUGCUCGGGAUAGAUGCGUGGAUAAGGAAACAGAAUAGGUAGAUCGUCAAUAUAGAACUUCAUUAUGGGUGUAAUCCGUUGACUUUGAGGAAAUUAAUUUGAGUAUAUGACAGCCUAUUGGACCAAAAAAAAAUUUAGGAAUUAAAUAAUAAGAUAAAAAGUUGAAAC